rnacentral:rRNA from 1 species
CAAUAGCGUAUAUUAAAGUUGUUGCAGUUAAAAAGCUCGUAGUUGAACCUUGGGCCUGGCUGGCCGGUCUGCCUCACCGCAUGCACUGGUCCGGCCGGGCCUUUCCCUCUGGGGAUCCGCAUGCCCUUCACUGGGUGUGUCGGGGAACCAGGACUUUUACUGUGAAAAAAUUAGAGUGUUCAAAGCAGGCCUAUGCUCGAAUACAUUAGCAUGGAAUAAUAGAAUAGGACGUUGCGGUUCUAUUUUGUUGGUUUCUAGGACCGCCGUAAUGAUUAAUAGGGACAGUCGGGGGCGUAAGUAUUCAAUCGUCAGAGGUGAAAUUCUUGGAUCGAUUGAAGACUAACUACUGCGAAAGCAUUCGCCAAGGAUGUUUNCAUUAA